GGCUUCGUGUCGGUAUUAAAAUACGAAGUCGGACCUGCCCAGUGAAUUUUAAACGGCCGCGGUACUCUGACCGUGCAAAGGUAGCAUAAUCAUUUGCUUAUAAUUGAAGGCUGGAAUGAAUGGUUUGACAAGAAUACACCUGUCUCUUUUAGAUUAGCUAGAAUUUUAUUUUUGGAUGAAAAAGUCCAGAUACGAUUAAAAGACAAGAAGACCCUAUCGAGCUUUAGAAGAAUUAAUAGAGUUAUUUUAAAUCAAUAUAAAUAAAAGAAAAGCUAUUAAAAACUUUGGUUGGGGCAACCAAGGAGUAAGUAAAGCCUCCUUUGAAUGGUAAAUCUUGCUUGUAUUGAUCCAAAAUUUUUGAUCAAAGGAAUUAGUUACCGUAGGGAUAACAGCAUUAUCUUUUUCAAGAGCCCAUAUCGAAAAAAAGGUUUGUGACCUCGAUGUUGGACCAGAAUAUCCUAAAAAUGCAG
rnacentral:rRNA from 1 species